GAUGAACGCUGGCGGCGUGCCUAAUACAUGCAAGUCGAGCGAACGGACGAGAAGCUUGCUUCUCUGAUGUUAGCGGCGGACGGGUGAGUAACACGUGGAUAACCUACCUAUAAGACUGGGAUAACUUCGGGAAACCGGAGCUAAUACCGGAUAAUAUUUUGAACCGCAUGGUUCAAAAGUGAAAGACGGUCUUGCUGUCACUUAUAGAUGGAUCCGCGCUGCAUUAGCUAGUUGGUAAGGUAACGGCUUACCAAGGCAACGAUGCAUAGCCGACCUGAGAGGGUGAUCGGCCACACUGGAACUGAGACACGGUCCAGACUCCUACGGGAGGCAGCAGUAGGGAAUCUUCCGCAAUGGGCGAAAGCCUGACGGAGCAACGCCGCGUGAGUGAUGAAGGUCUUCGGAUCGUAAAACUCUGUUAUUAGGGAAGAACAUAUGUGUAAGUAACUGUGCACAUCUUGACGGUACCUAAUCAGAAAGCCACGGCUAACUACGUGCCAGCAGCCGCGGUAAUACGUANGUGGGCAGCGUUAUCCGGAAUUAUUGGGCGUAAAGCGCGCGUAGGCGGUUUUUUAAGUCUGAUGUGAAAGCCCACGGCUCAACCGUGGAGGGUCAUUGGAAACUGGAAAACUUGAGUGCAGAAGAGGAAAGUGGAAUUCCAUGUGUAGCGGUGAAAUGCGCAGAGAUAUGGAGGAACACCAGUGGCGAAGGCGACUUUCUGGUCUGUAACUGACGCUGAUGUGCGAAAGCGUGGGGAUCAAACAGGAUUAGAUACCCUGGUAGUCCACGCCGUAAACGAUGAGUGCUAAGUGUUAGGGGGUUUCCGCCCCUUAGUGCUGCAGCUAACGCAUUAAGCACUCCGCCUGGGGAGUACGACCGCAAGGUUGAAACUCAAAGGAAUUGACGGGGACCCGCACAAGCGGUGGAGCAUGUGGUUUAAUUCGAAGCAACGCGAAGAACCUUACCAAAUCUUGACAUCCUUUGACAACUCUAGAGAUAGAGCCUUCCCCUUCGGGGGACAAAGUGACAGGUGGUGCAUGGUUGUCGUCAGCUCGUGUCGUGAGAUGUUGGGUUAAGUCCCGCAACGAGCGCAACCCUUAAGCUUAGUUGCCAUCAUUAAGUUGGGCACUCUAAGUUGACUGCCGGUGACAAACCGGAGGAAGGUGGGGAUGACGUCAAAUCAUCAUGCCCCUUAUGAUUUGGGCUACACACGUGCUACAAUGGACAAUACAAAGGGCAGCGAAACCGCGAGGUCAAGCAAAUCCCAUAAAGUUGUUCUCAGUUCGGAUUGUAGUCUGCAACUCGACUACAUGAAGCUGGAAUCGCUAGUAAUCGUAGAUCAGCAUGCUACGGUGAAUACGUUCCCGGGUCU
rnacentral:rRNA from 1 species